ACGUAAGUAAUCUGCCUUCGAGUGGGGAAUACCUUCGGGAAACCGAAGCUAAUACCGCAUAAUGCAGCGGCACCGCAAGGUGACAGUUGUUAAAGGAGCAAUCCGCUUGAAGAGGAGCUUGCGGCAGAUUAGCUAGUUGGUAAGGUAACGGCUUACCAAGGCUACGAUCUGUAUCCGGUCUAAGAGGACGGUCGGACACACUGACACUGAAUAACGGGUCAGACUCCUACGGGAGGCAGCAGUCGGGAAUUUUGGGCAAUGGGCGAAAGCCUGACCCAGCAACGCCGCGUGAAGGAUGAA
rnacentral:rRNA from 1 species